rnacentral:rRNA from 1 species
CCUACGUGAGGCUGCAGUGAGGAAUAUUGGUCAAUGGACGCAAGUCUGAACCAGCCAUGCAGAGUGUAGGAAGACGGCUCUAUGAGUUGUAAACUGCUUUUGUACGAGGGUAAACGCAGAUACGCGUAUCUGUCUGAAAGUAUCCUACGAAUAAGGAUCGGCUAACUCAGUGCCAGCAGCCGCGGUAAUACGGAGGAUUCAAGCGUUAUCCGGAUUUAUUGGGUUUAAGGGGUUCGUAGGCGGUCGGAUAAGUUAGAGGUGAAAUCCAGAGGCUCAACUUCGGAAUUGCCUCUGAUACUGUUCGGCUAGAGAGUAGUUGCGGUAGGCGGAAUGUAUGGUGUAGCGGUGAAAUGCUUAGAGAUCAUACAGAACACCGAUUGCGAAGGCAGCUUACCAAGCUACUUCUGACGUUGAGGCACGAAAGCGUGGGGAGCAAACAGGAUUAGAUACCCCUGUAGUC